rnacentral:rRNA from 1 species
CCUACGGGAGGCAGCAGUGGGGAAUAUUGCACAAUGGGGGAAACCCUGAUGCAGCGACGCCGCGUGAGCGAAGAAGUAUUUCGGUAUGUAAAGCUCUAUCAGCAGGGAAGAAAAUGACGGUACCUGAGUAAGAAGCCCCGGCUAAAUACGUGCCAGCAGCCGCGGUAAUACGUAGGGAGCAAGCGUUAUCCGGAUUUACUGGGUGUAAAGGGAGCGUAGACGGCCUUGCAAGUCUGAUGUGAAAGGCCGGGGCUCAACCCCGGGGCUGCAUUGGAAACUGUGAGGCUAGAGUGUCGGAGAGGCAGGCGGAAUUCCUAGUGUAGCGGUGAAAUGCGUAGAUAUUAGGAGGAACACCAGUGGCGAAGGCGGCCUGCUGGACGAUGACUGACGUUGAGGCUCGAAAGCGUGGGGAGCAAACAGGAUUAGAUACCCGGGUAGUC